rnacentral:ncRNA from 1 species
GAAAAGGAGAAAAAAUGGAAAUACAAACUGUGUGCAGUAUCUGCUCUGAGCUGUAAACAUCAAUGCAGAAUUUUUGGCAGAUGGCAUGGUUCUAUUUUGUUGGUUUUCAGAACUGAGGUCAUAAUUAAGAGGGAUGCUUGGGGGCAUUCCUAUUGUGUCACUAAAGGUGAAAUUCUUGGACCAGUGCAAGACCAGAGGGAAAGCAUUUGCCAAGAAUGUUUUCAUUAAUCAAGAAAAAAAGUCGGAGGUUCAAAGACGAUCAGACACUGUCAUAAUUCUGACCAUAAAUGAUGCUGAAGCGUUAUUCCCUUGAUCCCCGAGCAGCUUCCGAGAAACAUAAGUCUUUGGGUUCUGGGGGAAUAUGGUUGCAAAGCAGAAACUUAAAGUAAUUGAUGGAAGGGCACCACUAGGAGUGGAGCCUGUGGCUUAAUUUGACUCAACACGGGAAACAUCACCCAGUCCGGAUGUGGACAUGAUUGACAGAUUAAUAGCUCUUUCUCGAUUCCAUGGGUGGUGGUGCAUGUCCGUUCAUAGUUGGUAGAGCGAUUUGUCUGGUUAGUUCUGAUAAGGAAGGAGACUCCGGCAUGCUAACUAAUUAAGUGACCCCGAGCUGUCAGCACCUCCCUCCCCGACUUCUUAGAAGGACAAGUGGCGUUCAAACAUCCAAUUGAGAAAUAACAGUUCUUUGAUGCCCUUAGAUGUCUGGGUUGAACACACACAACACUGACUGGCUCAGCGUGUGCCUACUUUAUGCUGG